GUGUGUGUGGGUGUCGUAGGAACAAGAAGGGAAGAAGGGAAAACCCUCAUCUUCACAAAAUCAGGAAAAUUGAAGGGAAAUCAUGGCUUAAAUCAUUGCAUGAACACAUAGAAUCGUUCAUCUAAGCUAGUCUAACAAGAGGAGUUAAGGAAGAAGGCUCAAGUAGUUCCGGAUCGCAAACAAACAACGACAAAGGUAAAUCGUCUUGAUAGGCGACGUUACGUUGGAAUGGACACACUAUCUCAAAAGCUUCCGCUAUGAUACUUGACUAACGGGUCAAAACUUUUGUAACAAGACUUUAUGUUAUGUUUUAGCUUUUGUAAACACUUAACUUUAAAAGAUUUCGGAACUCAUGUCAUUUAUGUUUAUAAUGGUUAUUUUGAAAUUGGAUGUAAACUUUUAUGUAAGUUAAGUUGGGUGUUUAUGUCAAAGUUUUAUAGUUGAUUUUA